UACGAAGGGUGCAAACGUUGCUCGGAAUUAUUGGGCGUAAAGCGCACGUAGGCGGCUUUGCAAGUCGGAUGUGAAAUCCCUCGGCUUAACCAAGGAAGUGCAUCCGAAACUGCAAGGCUUGAGUACUUAAGAGGAUCGCGGAAUUCCCGGUGUAGAGGUGAAAUUCGUAGAUAUCGGGAGGAACACCGGUGGCGAAGGCGGCGACCUGGGUAGAUACUGACGCUGAGGUGCGAAAGCGUGGGGAGCAAACAGG
rnacentral:rRNA from 1 species